GCUUUCCCGAGCUCUGCAGUCCUGAUGGAGCAUGGGUGUGCACACAGCAUCCUCUCAGGGGGCUCGAGAGAGGAGCACAGCUCUGCCCUAGGAUGCACAGGGCCCAGCUCUGUCCACAGUUCCCUGUGUCGUCUUUCGAGAACUGCGGGGCUUCCUGUCAGCUUCCUCAUGUCUAAAUUGUAAUCCUGCAGCACAAGAUGCCGCAGCUGUCCUCUGGAAUUGGGAAGAACCAAAAAUGUCAUCCAGGCAAUGCGUGCAGCUCAUUCCCAGAAGGAAGAGGCUUUGUGCCUCGGACUGUCGUGCCAAGCCUGAGCGUCUCGCUGCCUGUAGGGUCGGAACGCUGUCCACAAAGGGCCACCAGGUAGCCAUUAUCAUUACCGGCCACCAUCAUCAUUGGGACAUCGUCAGCAACUCCAGAAGGGAGUCAUGACACCUGCAUGAAUACCACAGGGGCCCUUAGUUCUCCUCCCCAACGGGGGCCGGUUUCAAGGAUCAGGCCUAGAAGCAGAGCGAGGAGGUGGAGGGGAAGGCCUUGCUUCACCCAGGAAGCCAGGAGACGGUGGGGCAGGGGAGGGGCGGCCAGCAGGUGCGGUCUUCCCCAAAGGCCAGCGCUGGCAAGAGACAGUCCACCGCAGAGGCAACAAGAAACCAAUGAAGGUGACGAGCUGAACCCACAUCCACUCGUCCUUUGCUUACAUAGCAGGAGGGUCUGACGUGCGGAAGGGGGUCCGAAGGGAAAGACGGUGGACUUCUUGGGACCCCUGGGGACCCCUGCUGGUUUCAUCCGGUGGAGAAAAGGUGCAGACACCUUGUCUUGUAUUCUCCAUGUCAUGGUCGCAUCCAAUCCCUUUCCACAUCCCUGGGAAAGUCUGGAGAGCUCGUGAAGCUCCCCCGACAACACCGCAUUCCGGGAGGCCCCCACUCCGCAAGCACGGCCGCGAGAGAGAAUGCCCCCUAGAGCUGCCAGCCUCCCCGCCACACCCUAGUUCUUCUGACCACCUCCAGGAAGCGACCGUCGGGAAGUGUGGACCAGUGGAGAGAAGCCCCACUGAGGGUUCAAACACACCCAAGUCCACGACCCCAGGAGCCCCCCACUGCUGUCUCGGGCCUGGCCGGCCCUCCUCUCCUCCACUCUGCAGCCCCAGACGGGAGGUGUGCUUUGGGACAACAAGCGGCAGAUGACAGAAGCUUUUCAAAGGGAGGAAACCCCUCUCUUCGGAGCAGGCUUCUUUCCUGCUAUGCCAGUCCCCUCCCCGUCAGGGCUCGCGUGAGGUUAUUUGCGGUUGUGCCACAGGCCUGGAGGGAUCUCUUCCUGUGACUUUGUUUGUCUGUGCGGCUGGUGCCCGUACUGAGCAGUGGGGCCGCAGGAGCGCUUCCCGGAGCCCCUGGCUGGGCCGCGCUCUCGCUGGAGGUGAGACGUCACUCAAAUGCACACACAUGCCCCUGUGCGGCCGCGGAGAAGUUCCCAGAAUAAUUACUUAUACCCAG